AUGAAGAAGGCUGACAAGUUCGAGUGGACUCCGGAAGCUGAUGCAGCGUUUGCCGAGCUAAAAGCUCUGCUCUCCACCCAGCCGGUGCUUGCUGCUCCAAUCAGCAAAGAGCCUCUGUUGCUCUACAUCGCAGCCACAGGACAAGUCGUUAGUACUGUGCUAACGGUCGAGCGGGAAGAAGAAGGAAAAGCUCUCAAAGUUCAGCGCCCAGUGUAUUAUUUGUCUGAAGUCUUGACUCCAUCCAAGCAGAGAUAUCCUCAUUAUCAGAAGCUUGUGUAUGGAAUAUACAUGACCACAAAGAAGGUUGCUCAUUAUUUCUCUGACCAUUCAAUCACAGUCGUCAGCGACGCUCCACUAUCAGAGAUUUUGCACAACAGAGAUGCAACUGGUCGAGUGGCCAAAUGGGCGAUUGAACUUCUUCCCCUUGAUAUCAAGUUUGAGGCAAAGAAAGCCAUUAAGUCCCAGGCAAUAGCAGAUUUCCUCGCCGAGUGGAUCGAACAGCAGCAGCCGACUGAAGUUCACUCGGAGCAUUGGACCAUGUUUUUCGAUGGUUCUAAGAUGUUGAACGGUUCCGGUGCUGGGGUUGUCCUGGUUUCCCCCAGAGGAGAUAAGCUCAGAUAUGUGCUCCAGAUUCACUUUGAUUCCUCCAACAAUGAGGCAGAAUAUGAGGCCCUCCUAUAUGGGUUGCGCAUGGCCAUUUCACUCGGCGUCCGUCGCCUAAUGGUCUAUGGUGACUCGGAUUUAGUGGUCAAUCAGGUGAUGAAAGAGUGGGACGUGAGAAGCCCAGCCAUGACUGGAUACUGCAGUGCAGUGAGGAAGCUGGAGAAAAAGUUCGAGGGGUUGGAGCUCCAUCACAUACCCCGACUGAAAAAUCAAGCAGCUGAUGAUCUAGCAAAGAUAGGUUCCAAGAGAGAAGCCAUCCCGAGUGGUGUGUUCUUGGAGCAUAUACAUACUCCGUCAGUCAAAGAAGAUCCUUUCACGGAAGAAACUCCGCAGCCCAAGAGUGCCACAGAUCCGACUGAAGUUGAAGUCCCAGCGGUGGUCGACUUGAUCAUGGAGGAAGAAAGGGAGAUGGCUCUGAUCCGGUCGACCAUCUACCAACAAGAUCUGCGCCGUUUCCACGCCCGAAAUGUGAGAGGUCGAGCCUUCCAGGAAGGGGAUUUGGUUCUCCGAGUGGAUCAGCACAAACCACACAAGCUUGCUCCUUCUUGGGAAGGCCCUUUCAUCGUCACCAAGGUUCUCCAUAACGGGGCAUACCGUCUUUACAACGUCGAGCAUAAUAUCGACGAGCCCCGAGCUUGGAACGCGGAGCUACUCCGCCCGUUUUACACUUAA
rnacentral:rRNA from 1 species